UACGGGGGGAGCAAACGUUGUUCGGAAUCACUGGGCGUAAAGGGCGCGUAGGCGGCUGAAUAAGUGGGAUGUUAAAUCCCCGGGCUCAACCCGGGACCUGCAUCUCAUACUGUUCAGCUCGAGCACAUCAGAGGAGACUGGAAUUCCCGGUGUAGCGGUGAAAUGCGUAGAUAUCAGGAGGAACACCGGUGGCGAAGGCGGCUUUCUGGACAGUAACUGACGCUGAGGCGCGAAAGCUAGGGGAGCAAACAGG
rnacentral:rRNA from 1 species